UACGGAGGGUGCAAGCGUUAAUCGGAAUUACUGGGCGUAAAGCGUGCGUAGGUGGUUGAUUAAGUUAUCUGUGAAAUCCCUGGGCUUAACCUGGGCAGGUCAGAUGAUACUGGUUGACUCGAGUAUGGGAGAGGGUAGUGGAAUUUCCGGCGUAGCGGUGAAAUGCGUAGAGAUCGGAAGGAACACCAGUGGCGAAGGCGGCUACCUGGCCUAAUACUGACACUGAGGCACGAAAGCGUGGGGAGCAAACAGG
rnacentral:rRNA from 1 species